AUUGAACGCUGGCGGCAGGCCUAACACAUGCAAGUCGAGCGAGCGGCGGACGGGGGUGUAAUGUCUGGGAAACUGCCUGUUAGAGGGGGGGAACUACAGGGAACGCUAGCUAAUACAGCGUAACACCAGAGGUGACCCGAUGGGAUUAGCUAGUAGGUGGGGGAACGGCUCACCCAGGCGACGAGCCCUAGCUGGGCUGAGAGGAUGACCAGCCACACUGGAACUGAGACACGGUCCAGACUCCUACGGGAGGCAGCAGUGGGGAAUAUUGCACGAUGGGCGCAAGCCGGAUGCAGCCAUGCCGCGUGUGUGAAGAAGGCCUUCGGGUUGUAAAGCACUUUCAGCGGGGAGGCGUUAACCGCAGAAGAAGCACCGGCUAACUCCGUGCCAGCAGCCGCGGUAAUUC
rnacentral:rRNA from 1 species